GUGCCAUGAUUGGUUUUGUAAGUUUGAAACUUUUCUCCAAGGGUUUUAUAGAGAAUGAUUGGCCUGGAGCAAGCAUAGAAGCAGAGAGGUGCAUAAGGAGGCUAUUGCAACAGCUCAGCUGAGAAAUAGUGUAGGCAGAGCCCAGGGCAGCAGCAGUGUGCCUGAAGAGGAGUGGAUGAAAAUGAACUAUUUCCAAGUCCUCCUGGGACUCCAGUAAGACAAGUCUUGCCUUUCAUGUGGACUCAUACAAUGUAGGUGCUCACAUUGGCGGAGUAAGAAGCACUGCACAGAAAUAGCUCAUUGGCAGAAUUGCGCUCUCAAGGAUGGAUAUCUUCAAGCCAUCCUUGACCCUCUAGAGCAGAAAGACAAACAAGUGUAAUGCUGAGGAAUGGGAAAAAUGUUUAAUUGCAAGCAGAAGAAUCUCACGUGAAAUUUUUACAAAUGAGGAAACGGAAGCACAAAAAGGCUGUGCUAAGGUCAAGCAGAUCAUACUGCCUAACAGGAUUUUGGCACCAUUGGUAGUCACUUUGACAUGUCAAUAAUGAUAAUUGCAAAGAAGACUGUUGUUCCAAGUAAUGGAUAACACAGCAUCUGAACCUACCUGGAUACUUUUUCAAUAUCUAAAGAAUUAUGUUGUAUAAAAAGAUGCUCGAAGCCCAGAAAAAAUAAAAGAUGAGCACUUCUGGAAAUUACUAUCUUAAACUUGUUCUGCAGAAUUACUCCAUUUUUGUCCUCUGUUAACAUUUUAAGAAGAUUCCAGUUCUUUUUGGACCUUUUUAGUUGUAAUGGAGCCCAGCCCAUGCCUUUGAGGCAGGGAGCAGGGAAAUGGUGAAAGUCAAGUGACUCUUAGCUUGCGCUGUUGUCAUCCUCUCUGGACUAUUGCUACAUUUCUAGGUAACUCUGAUUAGCUACUGAUGCUAUCUGUAAGGCUGGCAUCUAUCCUUGGGCUAAAUUUUGGGAAAUGAAUGAGAAAAGGAGGCAUAGUUAAGGUUUGGGUGCCAGGGAAUAUGAUAUUGAUGUACAUGGACAUGCUGGAAGAAAGUGAGCUGGUUCAGGGUAAGCAUAAUCCAACUGAGCAUCAUAGAAGCUUCUACAUGGUGACUAAAAUGGAAAUACUGUCAGCUUUUGCUUUAUGGAACUGAUGCGCUCCAGCUGUUCAUCCUAAAAUGAAUCCAAUUUUCCUUGUUAAAUGCUGUUAUAAAAUCAAGGAUGUAUCCCCACAAGGAAAAAAGAAAAUCCUCAAUGGACUCAAUUAAAAACUUUUGGUGAGAUAUAGUUGAAAUGGUGGCCAGCUUCAUAGGCCCUAUGGGAUUUGUUGUCCCACUUAGUGGUUCACUUUCCUUUGCUGUGAUUUUUCAACUCUUUGGUCUCCCCUAGGCUGUCAGGCCCACUCCUGCUCCCUUUGGGAUAGAAUGUUAGUGCAAUGUCUAUUAUUGGAGAAAUGAGUGCAUGGUUGCUAAUACACUGGAAAUUUUCUGACUGGCUAUAGAAGAUGUCACAUUUGCAUUUAAGUUUUACACAUUUACUCCAUUGCCAUAUCUCACCUUUGGAACAUUUCUAAAAAUAAGACAACCUACAGAGCAUCCAUGAGGGACAACAGUGACCUGUAUCUCUGUAUCUUUACACGAAUAAAUAUCCUCCAA
rnacentral:lncRNA from 10 species